rnacentral:ncRNA from 2 species
UUUUUGCACUCGAAUUAUGGUUGGAUUUUACACUUUUCGUAAAAUUCAUUAAAAGGGAAUCAGGUGUAAAACCUGAGCUGUACCCGCAACUGUAUGCUAAUAAGGUUAUUGUUACUACAAAUCCACUGUUCCGAUAUUAGGGAUGGGAAGGAAAACAAUAAUACGCAAGCCAGGAGACCUGCCGCAAUUCAUAAUGUAUC